GGGUGGGCCUUGCUUCUGAGGAAAUAAAGAGGCCCAGAACCUACCCAGCAAACGAAAGAAUGAUUUCCAGAUACUCAAGUGGAGUGGCCUUCUGGCUGCAUGAGUUGGAAGUGCUUGGCAGUCUUUCCAUCUGGCUCGCCAGUAUCCUGAGGUUAGCAAAGCAGAUGGCAAAUCUCAUGGGAGCUAAAAGACAUGUGCACAUGCCAGUAUUUUUUGACAAAUGCUCAGUUAAUUGUUUUCUAUGAUUCUUCUGAGACACAAACUGUAUGCACCAGGCACCAAGAACUAUCCCCCCCAAACACCCCAGAUCCCAAGGGAAACUUCAUAAUUACACAUAUUUGGGCCAAGCAUCUUCCCCACAGGAAAUGGAUGGAUCAGCCCCUGGAGAUGAAAGAAUGAUGCAGGGCAUGGGAAAGCAGAGAAAUAUCCUGAGUGAGAAAGAAGAUGAAUCUACACAGGCAAAGCCAGAGAGCUUAUAGGAGAAAUUCAGAAUUUCUUGUAUGCACACUAAGGAAAUGGGGAUCAAAGAGACCUGGGACAGAUGGAAUUUACCAAAGUCUCUACCACAGGCAUUCUCAGAUGGUGCUAAUAAAAAGAAGAAACCCAAACCAGAAUUGGUGGUCCACAUUGAGAGAGCUGCUAAAUAUCAUCACAAAGCAAUAAUUAUCCUACAGCCUGCUUGGUGGUGCAACAUUCUGAAAUGAAAAUGUCAAGGGCGUAGAGUCCCAAUGAUGUUGCUAAUAGAAGCUCA